rnacentral:lncRNA from 1 species
GCCUAUUCUAGGACUUCUAGAGAAAAAUAAUGAGGGGUGUCACGGGAUAUGACUAUAUAGGUCUUGUAGAGGAGAAACAGGCACUCUUUUUACGCUAGGUAUCGAAGGGCGCUAUGUUCAAAAAUCUGAAACUAGAGCUCAAAAUUUGAAAAAAAUGUCAAAAAAUUAGGGGGGUCGGCCUAUUCUAGGACUUCUAGAGAAAAAUAAUGAGGAGUGUCACGGGGUAUGACUAUAUAGGUCUUGUAGAGGAGAAACAGGCACUUCUUUUGCGCUAGGUAUCAAAGGGCGCUAUGUUC